rnacentral:ncRNA from 1 species
CUCUGUUUCCAUGGGGAUGCAGGGCAAAAAGGAG